UGGCGACGAGUGGCGAACGGGUGAGUAAAGCAUCGGAACGUGCCCUGGAAUGGGGGAUAACGUAGCGAAAGUUACGCUAAUACCGCAUAUUCUGUGAGCGGGAAAGCAGGGGAUCGCAAGACCUUGCGUUCUGGGAGCGGCCGAUGUCAGAUUAGGUAGUUGGUGGGGUAAAGGCUCACCAAGCCGACGAUCUGUAGCUGGUCUGAGAGGACGACCAGCCACACUGGGACUGAGACACGGCCCAGACUCCUACGGGAGGCAGCAGGUGGGGUAAAUUUUUGGACAAUGGGCGCAAGCCUGAUCCAGCCAUUCCGCGUGCAGGAUGAAGGCCGUUCGGGUUAGUAAACUGUCUUUUGUACGGAACGAAACGGUUCUCUCUAAUACAGGGGGCUAAUGACGGUACCGUAAGAAUAAGCACCGGCUAACUACGUG
rnacentral:rRNA from 1 species